GUGCUCGCUCCGGCAGCACACAUACUAAAAUUGGAACGAUACAGAAAGAUUAGCAUGGCUCCUCAGCAAGGACGACACCCAAAUUCGUGAAGCAUUCCACAUUUUU
rnacentral:snRNA from 1 species